rnacentral:rRNA from 1 species
GACGAACGCUGGCGGCGUGCUUAACACAUGCAAGUCGAACGGAAAGGCCCUGCUUUUGUGGGUUGCUCGAGUGGCGAACGGGUGAGUAACACGUGAGUAACCUGCCCUUGACUUUGGGAUAACUUCAGGAAACUGGGGCUAUUACCGGAUAGGAGCUCCUGCAGCAUGGUGGGGGUUGGAAAGUUUCGGCGGUUGGGGAUGGACUCGCGGCUUAUCAGCUUGUUGGUGGGGUAGUGGCUUACCAAGGCUUUGACGGGUAGCCGGCCUGAGCGGGUGACCGGCCACAUUGGGACUGAGAUACGGCGCAGACUCCUACGGGAGGCAGCAGUGGGGAAUAUUGCACAAUGGGCGGAAGCCUGAUGCGGCAACGCCGCGUGCGGGAUGACGGCCUUCGGGUUGUAAACCGCUUUCGCCUGUGACGAAGCGUGAGUGACGGUAAUGGGUAAAGAAGCACCGGCUAACUACGUG